GGUCUAUAAACAAAUGGAUUGACAUUGGACUCAGAGGAGAAGGUCCCCAAAGCAUAGCAGAAUGAGUCUGGAAACAGAAAUGAGGGAAAGAAGAUUUAAUUCCUUUUUGAGACAAAAUGCCACGUAUCCAGGCUACUCUUAAAUUCCAUCCGUAGCGAAGGAUGACCGUGAACUUCUGAUAUUCCUGCUUCUACCUCCCAGUAUUGGGAUUAGAAGUACAACGUUAGUCCAGUUUAUGGGGUACAGGUUUCAUGCACACUCGUGAAGUUGAGCUACACUACCAGCUAAGAGUGCCCAAUCUUUGUUUCAAAACACACUUAAACCAGUCUAGGUGAUGAGCAAUUCUAAAUCCAAGCCCUUGGGAGUUGUAGAAAGUACAAUGGCUGUAAGUGUGAGGCCAGUCUGAGACCCUGUCUCAAAAACUUCCAAGCAAACAAACAACAACAAAACCAAAGGAAAAGAAAAACAAAACCACACUUCAGACUCCGGCAUGGAGUAAAGCGAGCCAAUCACAGAUGGCAACAACUGCUUUAUUCUCAAUCCUGGUGUGAGAAGAGCUUCAGGAGGGGCCACAGGAGAACUGUCUGCAGGAACAAGCCAUGCCAGAUGCAGCAGGAAGAUGAAGGGUCGUUGAGGCGGACAUAGAUCAAGUGUGUGGGAUACGCCCGCCGCAAGGCUCCUGGAGGUGAGGACUUGCUCCAAUGGAGGGAGCACUCUGGAUAAUCCUCCUGCAGGACUGGUGCCUGAAGAAGUUUAGAUUUAGACAUUAUGUGCAGAAAAAUCACUGGUAUCCUGGGAGUGCUCAGUUGGCUCACUAGACUCAAGCAACGGGUGUUCCUUUGCGCUCACUUGCCAUUGCCUAAAAUAUCCUUGAGCCAGAAGUGGUGACUUCAAGCCUGUGCAGCUUUAUGCAAUUUGGUGUCAAAGGCUUUGGCUUCAACACCUGAUGGCUCUCUCAGAGGCUAGGCGUUAAAAGUCCCAGAGAGAGCAGGAGCCUACCUGACAAGGCAGAAUCCAGACUUAUGCUAUAUGACAUGAAAGUUGAAGGGCGACCAAUGUCAGGGGAGAAAUGGCACCCAGCCGUGGUGAGGAAGAGAGAAUAUUGGGGCAGAACCCACUACACGUCAGGCGUGUUGCCAAGUGUUGGAGAGGAUAUACAGUUGAAGAAAUUCCCUUUCCAGGCUGAGGCUGCCGAAGCCCAUAAAGAAGGUCAACUAAUGAUGGCACCGCAUGUCAAAAAGAACAUAGGAAAUGAUGCUACCAUGGAUUACACUGUAACACAGAAAGCUAAAACCCACGUUCUUAGAGUGAAGACUUUGAACCUAUGUGCAU
rnacentral:lncRNA from 1 species